UUCUAUACGACUGUGGAGUCAUUUCAGAGUAUAUUAAAGAGAAAGCAAGAGGAGAAAAAUUCAUAAAGUAUGUCACUGUUCUCCAAGAAAGGUUAGAUAAAAGCACUUUACAUGAUAUACAGUGGAGAAGGAAAUACGUUAAAUAACACUUUAAGGAGGCAAUAAGCAAACUCUAGACUGUGGGAAACUAAAUUUCUAGUUUCUUAAACAUGAGUUGCAAGAGGAAAUAAUUAAAAAGCAACCACCAUUUUACUCUCUACUUCUAUGAGACC